CACGUAGGGCGCGAGCGUUGUCCGGAAUUAUUGGGCGUAAAGAGCUCGUAGGCGGCCUGUUGCGUCCGCUGUGAAAGCCCGGGGCUUAACCCCGGGUCUGCAGUGGAUACGGGCAGGCUAGAGGUAGGUAGGGGAGAAUGGAAUUCCCGGUGUAGCGGUGAAAUGCGCAGAUAUCGGGAGGAACACCGGUGGCGAAGGCGGUUCUCUGGGCCUGUGCUGACGCUGAGGAGCGAAAGCGUGGGGAGCGAACAGG
rnacentral:rRNA from 1 species